GAUAAAAUAAGACAUCCUAAUAGGACACUUACAUAAAGGAGCUUGCAGGACUGAAUGUUGCUCUGGGUGAGUCAGUGAGUGAGUGGUGAGUGAAUGUGAAGGCCUAGAACAUUAGUGUACACCACCAU